UGGCAUCCUCUGCAAUUUACUGAUUGUGUUA
rnacentral:piRNA from 1 species